rnacentral:rRNA from 1 species
AGUGAACGCUGGCGGUAGGCCUAACACAUGCAAGUCGAACGGCAGCACAGAGGAGCUUGCUCCUUGGGUGGCGAGUGGCGGACGGGUGAGGAAUACAUCGGAAUCUACUCUGUCGUGGGGGAUAACGUAGGGAAACUUACGCUAAUACCGCAUACGACCUACGGGUGAAAGCAGGGGACCUUCGGGCCUUGCGCGAUUGAAUGAGCCGAUGUCGGAUUAGCUAGUUGGCGGGGUAAAGGCCCACCAAGGGGACGAUCCGUAGCUGGUCUGAGAGGAGGAUCAGCCACACUGGAACUGAGACACGGUCCAGACUCCUACGGGAGGCAGCAGUGGGGAAUAUUGGACAAUGGGCGCAAGCCUGAUCCAGCCAUACCGCGUGGGUGAAGGAGGCCUUCGGGUUGUAAAGCCCUUUUGUUGGGAAAGAAAUCCAGCUGGCUAAUACCCGGGUGGGAUGACGGUACCCAAAGAAUAAGCACCGGCUAACUUCGUGCCAGCAGCCGCCGUAA